rnacentral:rRNA from 1 species
GACGAACGCUGGCGGCGUGCUUAACACAUGCAAGUCGAACGGUGAAGCGCCUUCCUUUUUGGUGGGUGUGGAUGAGUGGCGAACGGGUGAGUAACACGUGAGUAACCUGCCCCCUUCUUCUGGAUAACCGCAUGAAAGUGUGGCUAAUACGGGAUAUUCUGGGUCUGUCGCAUGAUGGGUCUGGGAAAGAUAUUGUUUCGGUGGGGGAUGGGCUCGCGGCCUAUCAGCUUGUUGGUGGGGUGAUGGCCUACCAAGGCGGUGACGGGUAGCCGGCCUGAGAGGGUGGCCGGUCUGACUGGGCCUGAGGCCCCGCCCGGACUCCUACGGGGGGCAGCCGUCGGGAAUAUUGCACAAUGGGCGCAAGCCUGAUGCAGCGGCGCCGCGUGAGGGAUGGAGGCCUGCGGGUUGUGACCCUCUUUCGCCAGUGAAGCAGGCCUGCCUCGUUUGUGGGUGGGUUGACGGUAGCUGGAUAAGAAGCGCCGGCUAACUACGUG